CGUUGUAAGCUUUGCACAUAGUUGCAUUUUCUCUUUUGUAAAGCACCAAGAAUUACUUCAUGCCAAGACAGAAAUCCCAGGUUCCAGCUGUAGGUGGAAUUUCUGCCCUAUUCAUUGGUCGGCUGUAUGGACAUUCAUCUUUCCUGGACCCAGGAAGAACAGCGMUCUGCUGGAUACAGAAUGGUCAGAGCUUCAGGGACUUGGCUACAGAAUGGAGACAGUGACUCCUUUUGGAGACGUACUGAGCAGCCAUUGACUGACACCACUGACUACAAACGAAGAAACGUAGCAAUGCUUGAUCCUACCCUGCUGAUGCAGGCCUGGCUAGAGAGGAAGUUUGGAAAGGUCCGUUCAGUAUCUG